UUUCCUUUAGCUUAAAUUAAAGCGUUAGUUUGAAGCACUUGAGUUAACUUAUAAAGUUAGGGAAGG
rnacentral:tRNA from 3 species